rnacentral:rRNA from 1 species
UACGUAGGGGGCAAGCGUUGUCCGGAAUCAUUGGGCGUAAAGCGCACGUAGGCGGCCCGGUAAGUCCGUUGUGAAAGUCAGAGGCUCAACCUCUGGAGGCCAAUGGAUACUGCCGGGCUAGAGUCCGGAAGAGGCGAGUGGAAUUCCUGGUGUAGCGGUGGAAUGCGCAGAUAUCAGGAGGAACACCAAUGGCGAAGGCAGCUCGCUGGGACGGUACUGACGCUGAGAUGCGAAAGCGUGGGGAGCGAACAGG